AGAGUUUGAUCCUGGCUCAGAACGAACGCUGGCGGCAGGCCUCAUACAUGCAAGUCGAACGGGUGUAGCAAUACAUCAGUGGCAGACGGGUGCGUAACACGUGGGAACGUCCCCCCAAGUAAGGAAUAACCAUUGGAAACGAUGGCUAAUACCUUAUAGUCCCGAAAGGGUAAAGAUUUAUCGCUUGGGGAGCGGCCCGCGGCUGAUUAGCUAGUUGGUAGGGUAACGGCCUACCAAGGCGAUGAUCAGUAGCUGGUUUGAGAGGAUGAUCAGCCACACUGGGACUGAGAUACGGCCCAGACUCCUACGGGAGGCAGCAGUAGGGAAUAUUGGACAAUGGGCGAAAGCCUGAUCCAGCCAUGCCGCGUGAGUGAAGAAGGCCUUCGGGUUGUAAAGCUCUUUUGUCAGGGAAGAUAAUGACGGUACCUGAAGAAUAAGCCCCGGCUAACUUCGUGCCAGCAGCCGCGGUAAUACGAAGGGGGCUAGCGUUGUUCGGAAUCAUUGGGCGUAAAGCGCGUGUAGGUGGCUAUGUAAGUCAGUGGUGAAAUCCCGGGGCUCAACUCCGGAAUUGCCUCUGAUACUGCAUGGCUUGAGUCUUGGAGAGGAAAGCGGAAUUCCGAGUGUAGAGGUGAAAUUCGUAGAUAUUCGGAGGAACACCAGUGGCGAAGGCGGCUUUCUGGCCAAGUACUGACACUAAGACGCGAAAGCGUGGGGAGCAAACAGGAUUAGAUACCCUGGUAGUCG
rnacentral:rRNA from 1 species